rnacentral:rRNA from 1 species
AUUGAACGCUGGCGGCAGGCCUAACACAUGCAAGUCGAGCGGCAGCGGAAAGUAGCUUGCUACUUUGCCGGCGAGCGGCGGACGGGUGAGUAAUGUCUGGGAAACUGCCUGAUGGAGGGGGAUAACUACUGGAAACGGUAGCUAAUACCGCAUAACGUCGCAAGGCCAAAGAGGGGGACCUUCGGGCCUCUUGCCAUCAGAUGUGCCCAGAUGGGAUGAGCUAGUAGGUGGGGUAAUGGCUCACCUAGGCGACGAUCCCUAGCUGGGCUGAGAGGAUGACCAGCCACACUGGAACUGAGACACGGUCCAGACUCCUACGGGAGGCAGCAGUGGGGAAUAUUGCACAAUGGGCGCAAGCCUGAUGCAGCCAUGCCGCGUGUAUGAAGAAGGCCUUCGGGUUGUAAAGUACUUUCAGCGGGGAGGAAGGUGUUGAGGUUAAUAACCUCAGCAAUUGACGUUACCCGCAGAAGAAGCACCGGCUAACUCCGUGCCAGCCGCCGCCGUAA